rnacentral:rRNA from 1 species
UACGAAGGGUGCAAGCGUUACUCGGAAUUACUGGGCGUAAAGCGUGCGUAGGUGGUUUGUUAAGUCUGAUGUGAAAGCCCUGGGCUCAACCUGGGAAUUGCAUUGGAUACUGGCAGGCUAGAGUGCGGUAGAGGGUAGUGGAAUUCCCGGUGUAGCAGUGAAAUGCGUAGAGAUCGGGAGGAACAUCUGUGGCGAAGGCGACUACCUGGACCAGCACUGACACUGAGGCACGAAAGCGUGGGGAGCAAACGGG